GCGUGAGUGAUGAAGGCCUUAGGGUUGUAAAGCUCUUUCAGUGGGGACGAUAAUGACGGUACCCGCAGAAGAAGCCCCGGCUAACUUCGUGCCAGCAGCCGCGGUAAUACGAAGGGGGCUAGCGUUGUUCGGAAUCACUGGGCGUAAAGGGCGCGUAGGCGGCUUUAUAAGUCGGGGGUGAAAGCCUGUGGCUCAACCACAGAAUUGCCUUCGAUACUGUAUGGCUUGAGACCGGAAGAGGUUAGUGGAACUGCGAGUGUAGAGGUGAAAUUCGU
rnacentral:rRNA from 1 species